UACGUAGGGGCCAAGCGUUGUCCGGAUUUAUUGGGCGUAAAGAGCUCGUAGGCGGUUGGGUAAGUCGGGUGUGAAAACUCCAGGCUCAACUUGGAGAUGCCACCCGAUACUGCUCUGACUUGAGUUCGGUAGGGGAGUGGGGAAUUCCUGGUGUAGCGGUGAAAUGCGCAGAUAUCAGGAGGAACACCUAUGGCGAAGGCAGCUCGCUGGGACGUUACUGACGUUGAGACGCGAAAGCGUGGGGAGCAAACAGG
rnacentral:rRNA from 1 species